rnacentral:rRNA from 1 species
CAGUCGCCGCGGUAAUACGAGGGGGGCAAGCGUUGUUCGGAUUUAUUGGGCGUAAAGGGCGCGUAGGCGGCCAUUCAAGUUAGAUGUGAAAGCCCUGGGCUCAACCUAGGAAUUGCAUUUGAUACUGUUUGGCUUGAGUUCGGGAGAAGUGAGUGGAAUUCCUAGUGUAGAGGUGAAAUUCGUAGAUAUUGGGAAGAACACCAGUGGCGAAGGCGGCUCACUGGACCGACACUGACGCUGAGGCGCGAAAGCGUGGGGAGCAAACAGGAUUAGAUACCCCCGUAGUCCCUGUCUCUUAUAC